GGACCGUUGGAAUAUAUCAUGGAGAGUUUGAUCCUGGCUCAGAACGAACGCUGGCGGCGUGUCUUAAGCAUGCAAGUCGAGCGGCAAGGGUAGCAAUACCCCUAGAGCGGCGGACUGGUGAGUAACACGUGGGUGAUCUACCUCGGGGUUGGGGAUAGCCAUUAGAAAUAGUGGGUAAUACCGAAUACGAUCCGUUGACUACGGUCAGCGGAGGAAAGGCGCUACGGCGCCGCCCUGAGAUGAGCCCCGCGCCCCAUUAGCUAGUUGGUGAGGUAACGGCCCACCAAGGCUAUGAUGGGUAGGCGGCCUGAGAGGGUGUACGCCCACAUUGGGACUGAGAUACGGCCCAAACUCCUACGGGAGGCAGCAGCUAAGAUAUUCCGCAAUGGACGAAAGUCUGACGGAGCGACGCCGCGUGGAUGAUGAAGG
rnacentral:rRNA from 1 species